UUAAUUAACCUGUUGCUUGUUAAUGUUGGAUGUUCAGGAAUAAUUUAUGAGUAACAUUACAGGUUUAUUCCACUUGCUAGGUAUACUAAAUAAGCUGGGUAGGUUAGCUGAGCUUCUCUACAGUGGGGUAAGCAUAUACAGUGGUCUGUUCAGGCAAUUCCUGAUUAAAAAAAUUUUUGACCUGUAAUAUUAGCAUAUUUUUCGUACCACACAGAAUACAAGUACGACUGAUUUGGACGAUGCUUGGAAUGUAUUGAGGAGGACAUCUGUUGGAUGUAAUACACAAAAAUAAUGUGGCUUAUUGUGUGCUCACAUCUCUCCAACUAGUACUAUUUUGUGGUUUUUUAUACAGCAUUUUCAACGAUACAUUUCUCGACUCUCAAUGGAUCGACACGAAAAAGUUAAACAAUUACGUAUAGAUGUUCAUCAAUCCUAUAAGAUAGCACUGAACAUGUUCAAAUUCAUCUCAUACUUUUGCAACAAUUUGUCAGUUCAGUUUGCUGUGGCAUGUAAAUUUGUAUAAAUUUGUUAGUGUUGAAGUUUCUAAGCAAAGCCACAUGGCGGCUUUGUGGCUAUAUUUAGUUCCUGCCAUGUGUAAUAGAUUGGUGCAGGAAGCAGGAAACAAACUGCAAAGGGAAGAGAGUUAUAAAAAAAUGCUACUUUUGCGCAAGCAAUUGCGAAUAGCUCAUUAAUAUAUUCAUGAGAAAAUAAAACUCCACAUAGGAUGCGCUGAAACCAUUGCGGUUCGACUGGGGAAGAAACUGGUGAAGACCCAGUGAGGGUAGAGUAUAGCGGGGCAAGAGUGAGGUGGUGUUGGUCUAGCCGUACUGAGGAACACACUAUGGAGCAGAACCCAGCUCAGCAUUUCAAAUGCCCAGACUAAACAAGCUAAAAAUGAAGAAACGCCUUAGAAGUGAUGACAACUGGCUGGAGGACAAAGGCUCGGGCAAUGUGGUUGUCGCAAAUACUAAGAGGUUUAAAGGUCGUCGUGUGGACUUCAUACAACAGUGGAGAGGGCUAUGUGAUUCGUAUCAGCGGUGGCAAUGACAAGUAGGGCUUCCCCAUGAAGCAAGGUGUCCUCACUAAUGGCCGUGUUAAGCUCCUCCUCAAGAAGGGGCACAGACCCAGACGCACUUGAGAGAGGAAACGCAAGUCAGUGAGAGGCUGCAUAGUGGACAGCAACCUGAGUGUGCUCAAUCUAGUCAUCAUCAAGAAAGAUCUGUGCCAGGCCCUACACUGUGUUCCGAUGGUGUCCUGGUGCUAAGAUGCGCUACAAGAGAACAGAGGUCUGCCAAUCAUGUGCCCAACUCAAUAACGUCUGUCAAACCUGUCUCCUUGUACCGCCCACCGCGGAUCAGGAUCUCCUGGACUCCAACGGAAUUUUCAACCAGC